rnacentral:rRNA from 1 species
CCUACGGGAGGCUGCAGUGAGGAAUAUUGGUCAAUGGACGAGAGUCUGAACCAGCCAAGUAGCGUGAAGGAUGACUGCCCUAUGGGUUGUAAACUUCUUUUAUAUGGGAAUAAAACGUUCCACGUGUGGGAUUUUGUAUGUACCAUAUGAAUAAGGAUCGGCUAACUCCGUGCCAGCAGCCGCGGUAAUACGGAGGAUCCGAGCGUUAUCCGGAUUUAUUGGGUUUAAAGGGUGCGUAGGUGGAUUGUUAAGUCAGUUGUGAAAGUUUGCGGCUCAACAGUAAAAUUGCAGUUGAAACUGGCAGUCUUGAGUACAGUAGAGGUGGGCGGAAUUAGUGGUGUAGCGGUGAAAUGCUUAGAUAUCACGAAGAACUCCGAUUGCGAAGGCAGUUCACUGGACUGCAACUGACACUGAGGCUCGAAAGUGUGGGUAUCAAACAGGAUUAGAUACCCGUGUAGUC